CUCCUUUGACGUUAGCGGCGGACGGGUGAGUAACACGUGGGUAACCUACCUAUAAGACUGGGAUAACGUCGGGAAACCGGAGCUAAUACCGGAUAAUAUUUCGAACCGCAUGGUUCGAUAGUGAAAGGUGGUUUUGCUAUCACUUAUAGAUGGACCCGCGCCGUAUCAGCUAGUUGGUAAGGUAACGGCUUACCAAGGCGACGAUACGUAGCCGACCUGAGAGGGUGAUCGGCCACACUGGAACUGAGACACGGUCCAGACUCCUACGGGAGGCAGCAGGG
rnacentral:rRNA from 1 species